rnacentral:lncRNA from 1 species
AUUCUGUUCUGGUAUUUCUCUGCUACUUGAACUUUGCAUUAUCAGAGCAUUGGACUGCUUUUGCUUGAUAUUGUGCUGGAUUAGAAUAUGCCCUUAGUAUUUUUCCUAUCAUAUGAUAUUAAUAAACACAACUGAAAGGAGAAAAUAGAUUGUCCCAAAGUCUGUUCUGCAUGGUUAUCUCUCACAAUGGUUAUAACCAUUGUGCCACCGUGGUUAUAGUAAGCUCUCCAAUAAAUAUUACUGGGCAUGUAAGCAUUUCUUCCUUUUAACUACCAUGGUGUAAUGUCUAGGAGGGAGAGAAAAUGCUUUAACAUCUACAUUUGUUUGUUUGCUCAUUCACAAAUACCUCACAAGGGCCCCACGAUAUGAGAGGUCCCGUGCUGUAUGCUAGGAAUAUAAAUCACUUAAUUUGCAGUGUGAUCCUGGGAAAACCCUUUUCAUGUUUCUACUCUCCUGUAUCCUGUUGAUCUCAUAAGAAAGUCAUUUACAGGAAGUUCUCAGCCUUAGGUGGAUCCAAAACUUUAGGCAGAUUUGUGGUGCUCUCUAUAGCCUUA